rnacentral:tRNA from 2 species
GGAGAGGUGGCUGAGCGGUUGAAAGCGGCAGUCUUGAAAACUGUUGUGGGGGCAACUCCACCGUGAGUUCGAAUCUCACCCUCUCCGCCA